rnacentral:rRNA from 1 species
ACGCAUCACUGGUGUUCGGGUUGUCAUGCCAAUGGCACUGCCCGGUAGCUAAAUGCGGAAGAGAUAAGUGCUGAAAGCAUCUAAGCACGAAACUUGCCCCGAGAUGAGUUCUCCCUGACUCCUUGAGGGUCCUGAAGGAACGUUGAAGACGACGACGUUGAUAGGCCGGGUGUGUAAGCGCAGCGAUGCGUUGAGCUAACCGGUACUAAUGAACCGUGAGGCUUAACCUUACAACGCCGAAG